rnacentral:lncRNA from 1 species
CCAAAUUAAUUUAAUUUAAUAUAUAUAAUCUUUAAACAAAGGGUCAGCGUCAGGAGAAAAUUGAAUAGAAUGUUAUUAAAAAAAAGCAAAAGAAGAAAAAUAUUUGGUUAAAUAAUUAAUUAAAAAACAUCGAUUUAAUCUAAUUGAUAACCUAUAACGGAUGUGUAAUUAAAUGAGAAUGACACGUCAUUACUAACAGUGUAACAUACAAAAUUUGCCUCUCAUAAAUAAUGCCUUGAAUUUGGUGUAUGUUAGAGAUACAUAAAGAAAUCGACAUAAAAUGUCCCUAAAUUUAACUUAAAAUAAAAGAGAAAAUAUAGUGAUCAAUGUAUUUGAUAAAUGUCAUAUCAUAUAGAAUUAAAACCGUAUCAUAUAAACUCUUUUUGAAGCUUUCCAGUUCUUAGGUUAUGCCGGAUGGCAGGGGUGUUCAUAACCGAACCAAUCCAAACAAAACCGACAAACUGAUCAAAAAAACCGAAAUCCAAUCAAACCGAAAACCGAACGGACUGAAAAUUGAAAAAACCGAAAUUAUUUAUUGGAUCGGAUCGGAUUUCGGAUUUGAUUUUCAAAACCGAACUAAUCCAAUCCAAACCGAACAUUCACAAAUAUGUAUACUUUUAAUUAUACAUAUAUCAUUUCAUUUACACUUACAUAAUACAUAUUUAUUGUAUAUAUAUUGAUUAUAUCACACAUGCUUAUUUAUAAAAUUACGUUUUAAUAAAAAAAGUUCAAAUAAUUAUUUAAACUAUAUACAUGCAUCAAAGUAAACAAUUAUAAUCAUAAUUUAAAAAUAUGUUGACUAUGUUAUAAUUUAUAAAUGCUAUAUUAAUGUUAUAAAUUUUGUAUCGUUGUAUUUAUCAUAUAUUAUAUAUUUUUAAAAUUUAUACAACACAGUUUCAAAGUAUAAAAAAGUGAAACAAAAACCGAACAAUCCAAUCCAAUCCAAACCACUAUAGAUUGGAUCGGAUUGGAUCGGAUUGGUUCGAAUUUGGAUUUAGUAAAAUAUCCAUUAGAUGACAAAAUCAUAAAACCGAUGAGAUCGAAUCGGAUGAUUUUUCUCCUCAAAACCGAUCCAAUCCAAUCCGCGAACACCCCUACCGGAUGGUGGAUGGACAAUGACACUGUUUUUCAUUUCUUUAUGCAAACAUACUCUCUCCGUUCCUAUAUAAAACUGACACUUUAAGGUUGUUGCACAAGUAUUAAAAAUUAACAAUUAAUAUUUUUGUUUUAUUAAAAUUACAAAUUAAAUCUAACUUCCUAUUUAUCUCUCUUAAUAAUUCUAAUUUUUCAAUUUUCCUACCACCAAUAAAUGAAGGGUACAAUUGAUAAAGUAUAAUUAAUGCUCUCUUGAACUUUAUAAAGUGACAGAUAAUUAGGAACAAAAUUUAGCUAGAAAUAGUGUCAGUUACACCCUUCGAUCACUAUUAUAAGCAAAAAACAAGUUUUUAAAUUCUUUAAUAAAUAUAUAUCAUUUAUUGAAUGAAUUGAAAUGUUGUUUUUUUUGCUUAUANN